AGCAGCCGCGGUAAUUCCAGCUCCAAUAGCGUAUAUUAAAGUUGUUGCAGUUAAAAAGCUUGUAGUUGAAUUUCGGGAUCAGUUCGUCGGUCGUGCCUUUGGUAUGUACUGGUGUUACUGGUUCCUCCCUUCUGACGAACCGUUCAUGUCAUUAAUUUGGUGUGGCGGGAAAUCAGGACUGUUACUUUGAAAAAUUAGAGUGUUUAAAGCAGGCCCGCGCUUGAAUACAUUAGCAUGGAAUAAUGAAAUAGGACGUUCGAUCCUAUUUUGUUGGUUUCUAGGAUUGACGUAAUGAUUAAUAGGGAUAGUUGGGGGCAUUAGUAUUCAAUUGUCAGAGGUGAAAUUCUUGGAUUUAUUGAAGACUAACUACUGCGAAAGCAUUUGCCAAGGAUGUUUUCAUUAAUCAAGAACGAAAGUUAGGGGAUCGAAGACGAUCAGAUACCGUCGUAGUCUUAACCAUAAACUAUGCCGACUAGGGAUCGGAUGAUGUUAAUUUUUUAAUGACUCAUUCGGCGCCUUA
rnacentral:rRNA from 1 species